CGAACGGGUGAGGAUCACGUGAGAAACCUGCCCCAGACUUUGGGAUAACAGUUGGAAACGACUGCUAAUACCGAAUGACGUCGGAGAACCGCAUGGUUCACUGACGAAAGGAAAUCCGGUUUGGGAGGGUCUCGCGGCCUAUCAGCUUGUUGGUGGGGUAAUGGCCUACCAAGGCAACGAUCCAUAACUGGUCUGAGAGGACGGCCAGUCACACUGGGACUGAGACACGGCCCAGACUCC
rnacentral:rRNA from 1 species